AGUGAACGCUGGCGGUAGGCCUAACACAUGCAAGUCGAACGGCAGCACAGUAAGAGCUUGCUCUUACGGGUGGCGAGUGGCGGACGGGUGAGGAAUACAUCGGAAUCUACUUUUUCGUGGGGGAUAACGUAGGGAAACUUACGCUAAUACCGCAUACGACCUACGGGUGAAAUCAGGGGAUCUUCGGACCUUGCGCGAUUGAAUGAGCCGAUGUCGGAUUAGCUAGUUGGCGGGGUAAAGGCCCACCAAGGCGACGAUCCGUAGCUGGUCUGAGAGGAUGAUCAGCCACACUGGAACUGAGACACGGUCCAGACUCCUACGGGAGGCAGCAGUGGGGAAUAUUGGACAAUGGGCGAAAGCCUGAUCCAGCCAUACCGCGUGGGUGAAGAAGGCCUUCGGGUUGUAAAGCCCUUUUGUUGGGAAAGAAAAGCAGCAGGUGAAUACCCCGCUGUUCUGACGGUACCCAAAGAAUAAGCACCGGCUAACUUCGUG
rnacentral:rRNA from 1 species